rnacentral:rRNA from 1 species
UUGACCUCGGAUCAGGUAGGGAUACCCGCUGAACUUAAGCAUAUCAAUAAGCGGAGGAAAAGAAACCAACCGGGAUUGCCUCAGUAACGGCGAGUGAAGCGGCAAGAGCUCAAAUUUGAAAGCUGGCCCCUUCGGGGUCCGCGUUGUAAUUUGCAGAGGAUGCUUCGGGUGCGGCCCCUGUCUAAGUGCCCUGGAACGGGCCGUCAGAGAGGGUGAGAAUCCCGUCUUGGGCAGGGUGCCCGUGCCCGUGUGAAGCUCCUUCGACGAGUCGAGUUGUUUGGGAAUGCAGCUCUAAAUGGGUGGUAAAUUUCAUCUAAAGCUAAAUACCGGCCGGAGACCGAUAGCGCACAAGUAGAGUGAUCGAAAGAUGAAAAGCACUUUGAAAAGAGAGUUAAACAGCACGUGAAAUUGUUGAAAGGGAAGCGCUUGCGACCAGACUCGGCCCCGGGGUUCAGCCAGCAUUCGUGCUGGUGUACUUCCCCGGGGGCGGGCCAGCGUCGGUUUGGGCGGCCGGUCAAAGGCCCCAGGAAUGUAUCGCCCUCCGGGGUUGUCUUAUAGCCUGGGGUGCAAUGCGGCCAGCCCGGACCGAGGAACGCGCUUCGGCACGGACGCUGGCGUAAUGGUCGCAAACGACC